rnacentral:rRNA from 1 species
AGCGAACGCUGGCGGCAGGCUUAACACAUGCAAGUCGAACGGGCAUAGCAAUAUGUCAGUGGCAGACGGGUGAGUAACGCGUGGGAACGUACCUUUUGGUUCGGAACAACACAGGGAAACUUGUGCUAAUACCGGAUAAGCCCUUACGGGGAAAGAUUUAUCGCCGAAAGAUCGGCCCGCGUCUGAUUAGCUAGUUGGUAGGGUAAUGGCCUACCAAGGCGACGAUCAGUAGCUGGUCUGAGAGGAUGAUCAGCCACAUUGGGACCGAGACACGGCCCAAACUCCUACGGGAGGCAGCAGUGGGGAAUAUUGGACAAUGGGCGAAAGCCUGAUCCAGCCAUGCCGCGUGAGUGAUGAAGGCCCUAGGGUUGUAAAGCUCUUUUGUGCGGGAAGAUAAUGACGGUACCGCAAGAAUAAGCCCCGGCUAACUUCGUG